AGGGAAGGAGAAUUAUUGUAUGAGACAUCUUGGCAACAGUGUGAGGCACUUCUUUCUGUAUCUUCCAGCUUGAUGAAGUCCAGCAAGCUUUUCCAGGAGUUCCCAGGAAAAUCUGGCAUGCUGCAAAGACCUAUGCUUACAUUAAUGAAGGUGACCUAGAAGUAGAGGAGCUGUGACCUCCCACCCUCCGCCAUUGAGCCAGCUAUACAGUUACUCAAGGAUGGAUGAAAAGAAUUUCCACCCUGUCUCAGGGAAUGGCCCUUCAUUUCUUCCUUCUAUAAAGGAUUUAUGUAAUAGUUUUUAUGUAAUAGAUUUUAUGUAAUAGUUGAAUUUGCUCUGUUGUACCUUCCGACUUUAUAACAAAUCCUGAUAUUUGUGCUUCUAGAUCAUUGGAAGAAUGGACCUCAUUGUUACUGAAGUUCCCCUUGGAGUUUCAAAGAUGGCAUUGAAGCUGCAUGUGUUGUGGAGCAGAUGCCAACCAUAAUCAGUUUUACCGCUUAAUUUGUUUACCUGGGAGGCCUGACACAAUGUACAUAUACUUACACAUACAUACACACACACACACACAGUAUAGAUAGAUGAUAGAUAGAUAGAUAGAUAGAUAGAUAGAUAGAUAGAUAGAUAGGUAGAUAGGUAGGUAGGUAGGUAGACAACAAACAUACAUACACACAUACAACCCCUACAAUGUCCAAACAUUGUGUCAUGUCUCCCAGGUAAACCAGAGAGGAAACAUGACUAAAUGAAUUAAUUCUACCUUAUUGUAAAGCUACAUUGACAGAACCUUGAAAGUCUGAAGGGAGCCCUUUUGACUGAAUUUCUAUCUUCUUUUUCUUGUGUUUGACUGAAUUUCUAUCUUCUUUUUCUUGUGUUUGCCUUAAAAGUGUGGCAUGUAACUGGGCACAUAUAAAUGUCCCUUUUGUAUGUAUAUGUAUUUAUUUUUAUAUUCUGUUUUUAAUGGUUUCAUUGAUUUUAUGGUUGUUUGCCACCCAGUGUCACUUGUUUGCGAUGGGCGCCUGUACAAAUUGAAUCAAUCAAUAAACUUUGGAUAUUAUUCCUUCA